UAGGCAGGAGGUGCUGUUCAUUGGGGAGUUGAAAUCAUGUCUUAGGCCACUGGUGUCCCAUAUCACCCAUGUUUUCCUGGUUGUCGCUGCUUACGUUCCCUGUUCUCUCUUCCCCUCCUAACAUCACACAUUGCGUGGUUGUUGGCACCAGCGCUCAUUGUCCUAGAGGUCAACGGCGCCCAUUGUCCCUUGAGGUCACCAGCGCCCCUGUCCCGCUAGAAGCCAGCCUUAGAUGUGCGAAUUAAGUUGCACUCGUCAUUAUGCAAUGGUGCAAAGAAAUUUGUUGAGGAUCUCUGCCUGUGCAGCCUCAUGACCGGGGACUGCAAGUUCCUCCCCGCCGGUGCGUUCAAGGCGUGCGUGCACGUACGUCUUCCUCGCCGGCUACGAUCUCGCCGCGUCAGAUGGCGGCGGCGGCGGCGGCAGCAACUUGAGGGCACUGAUUCUAGCCGUGAAGGAGAAGAACAUCGAGGGCGGUCUGACCUACCAGGUACUCUGCCUCUCCACGAGCGACGGCGCGUCGUGGGGCGCGGUCACGCGCUCCCCCAAGUUCGGGGAGGGUCUCGUCUCGUGACGCGCAUACACCCCGGCAGCGAGGCCAUCUGCCGCGGCAUCGCCGUCCACUGGCUCGGCACGGCGACAGACGCGGUGUGCUCGAGUGCACGGUGGCCGUCGACGUGUGCACUCGGCGGACAUGGCUGGAGGGGAGGAACUUGAAGGCAGCAGAUACACAUUUGCAGCCCAUCGACGCAAACGGAAGGAGCCCAGCCACAGACGUCUGAGAUGCCUCCUCUUCUCCUAGAAAGAGGAGCACCCACCCAUUCAGUUCCCUGCAUUGCACGGCCGGCUUGCAGCUGUAGCUGCUUUACAGCUAGAGACUAGAGACUAGAGACGACACCCGAUGAUCUGACAGCGUGCUAGGACUCUAACUGCCGAUGAUUAUAGGCAACGAUCCUGUAUUUUUUUUUUGAAAUCGGAACGAUCCUGUAAUUUUGGUUGUGUUGGAAACGCAAACAGUGCGCGCAAGAAA